UGGCUCCUUCAGGCUCUUGGGGCAAGAGGGCAGGGCAUCCCUGAGUCCCUUCCCAGAGCACGUUUGAUGCAGAGUUGGCACCAGAGAGAAGCAAGCUGGCAGAGGUAUGGUUAACCUGCUGCAGAUGCCAGUGGAGACUUGGUCUUUGCGGGAGCCAUCCCGCAACCCACGGAGCCCAUUCCACAGAGGCUUUCUGUCUGUAUCUCCAUGUGUCUGGCUGGACUGAGGCUUCUCCGGGACAGAUUCUGUGGCUGGCUGACCCUGUCUGGCCAGCACCAAGCCCCCUGGGUGGAGAAGCAUGUGUCUCCCCCUGGGCGGAGGGCCCGUGUGAGAGAAGUGGCUUGCCAUCUCCUGCACACGAGAUCUUCUGGGGCAAAGAGGAAGCUGUGUUCAGUACUGCGUGUUUGAGUGUAUGCUACAAGCAAAACAUCAGCGGGCCUGGAGAGAGCUCAUCACUUCCACUACGCGUGUUGCCCGUCCAGGUGACUAUUAGGAUGCGCCAGGAUGAAGCCUUUCACACCGAGGAAGACUCAAAAAUCAUCUCAAAAAUUGCCCCGUUAACCAUGUCAGCAGUACCUUGAAAUAAAACAGAGAGGAAAAACUACA
rnacentral:lncRNA from 1 species